GGGGGAGGCGGGGGCCGUCCCGUCGGUUUCCGCGGGCGGGGGCGUAGGGCCGGGGGGAGCGGCCGGGGGAGCUCGGCGGCCGCCGUCUUACGACAGAUCCUGGAAAGAGGAUCAAGGUGGGGCCCGCCCCGCCGCGCACCGCCGGCAACCGACGGGGCGGCCCGGGCUCGGCCGCUGGGAGCACGGCGGAGAGCUGCAGGCGGCGAGGUGCCCUCCCGUCGGGGCCGCGCUGCGCUGCCCGGCCCGAGGGGCUGUUUACCCGGGCGGGGGGAGGCAGAUAAGGCGGAGGGGAAAUGCCGGGGCUGUUUGCUGAGGGAUUAGGGCCGGUCCCGCCGCGCCGGGGCCCGGGAUGGGGGUGGGGUGGGGGGGCGGCGGGCGCGGUGGGUGUCCCCGCGGAGAAGUCCGUUUGGAGAUCUGCGCUGAUUAACUGAGGGCUGCGGUGGCUGAAGAGGGCCCUGGCGCCAGGCGGCUGAGCCCUCACAAUAAAGACCCGUCUCUUGUCACUUCAUAUUUACCCCCAAAUCUUCAAAAAGCGCCCUGCGAUCCUUACAAGGCUCCUGCCCCCGCCGCCUGCGCUGCGGCCAGACGGGACGGGGACGGGGGGGCGGAGGCGGCCCCCUCCUCUGCCCACGGCUCCGCGGGUGCGCAGCGACGCGCUGCCUUCCUGGGGACCGCGCUGGGCCGCUCCCCGCGGAGGGUGAGACGCGGGGACCCCCGGCAGCCCUCUCCCCACCGCCACCUCUCCGCUGUUUCUCCCCACAUCGUGGUUCAUCGUGCUGCCAGCAAACCCCGGUGCUGCGAAGGGCCCGAGGAGAAGCCCCGGAGGCGGCCGCAUCCCGCCCCGUCCCGCGGCAGGUUCACCUCCAGCCGUCGCCUCCCGACGGGGCGGACACAGCGCGGCCACCGCGGAGCUGCCCUCACCGCCCCGGCCGCCGCGCGGGGCUGAGGGGGGUGUGUGUGUCUGGGGGGGGGGGGAUCGGUCCCGCUGACCAUUGAACGGGGCGAGGUGGCGAGCGGGGAUUGAAAUUUAGACCUCAUUUGGACUUUGCUUCCUCGCCACCGUCGAAAUGUGCUGACUGCAGCUUUGGCAAAAAUGGGGCUUGCUUGGGCUUUUUUUUUCCCUUUUUUUUUUCCCCCUCCCCUCCAAGCACACCCGGAUCCUCGCGUUGCCCCAGGGCCACAUCACCCCACUCCAGGGCACUGCGCAGACCCGCAGACACCGCACCCGCAGCUCCGAGGGGCAGUGCGGGGCCCCGCAAAGAAACGUCGCCUCUCCCCGGGCCCAGGUUCCGGGACCCCCCCGGCACAGCUGUAACGUCGCGAACGCCCACGCCUGCAGAAUAAAAACCGAUCCAGAGCCGCCUCGUCUCCCCGAGCCUCUGUGGCAGCGCCCGUCGGUGGGACAGCCGAGCCGGUAGACUUAGGCCUUGGCGCCAGGCCGUUUAAGACCUGUCAAAGUCCUUCAUAUUUCCCUCAUGUCACAUGGACCUUUCGCUCCCUUCCCCGCGCCAUGCGAGGGCCGUAAUUUGGAUCUGUGAGCUGUCGGGCCUCCGUCUUCCCCUCCUCCCGGCUCCUCCGGGCUGAGGCGGCUCCGCGCCCCGGGGCGCUCCUCUCGACGGUGCGGGGCCGCCCCACGAACCGCCGCCGGCCGCCUCUGGAGUGACUCUCGGAUUGAGCCAAAAAGGGGUUUUCUUCUCGUGCUGGAAGCGAGCCGUCGGGGCCCGCUUCUCGGCAGAGAUGAAGGGCGUUGUACGCCUGGGCCCUGACGGAGCCGGGCAGCAGCGGCCGUUGUGCACCUUCCAGAGGUGGGAAAAGGCCGGGCCGCGAAAGAGCCGGGUCCGCUGCGGGGGGUUCCUCAGCCCGGUGGGGCCGCCGAGGGCCGGGCUGAGCGGCUGUCCAUCACCGGACGUGGGGCACCAGAGUCCUCUGCACGUGCAGUGCACAGCAAUCCCGCAGGUGCGGGCUGGGAGCUCGUGGAAAUAACCCUUCGCCCUCGGAGGAGCGGCCCCGAAGCUCUCUGCCACUUUUCUCCCUCUCCACCUGGAGAAGAGACACGGGGGAACGUCCCCGCCCCGCGCUGAGGUGCCCGUCGAGGGGCGGCGGCUGCCCCACAGGUGGGGCGGGGAGAGACCCGAUGAUCGCCCCGUCCCGGGCCCCGUGGGAUGCGCCUUUAUGGAUAGCGAUGCCCGGCCCCGGCCACACCACCUCUUCCCGCUGUGCGCCCCGUCCGUGCGGAGGGAACCCCGGCACCCCCUGAGCUCCCCCCACCCUCAGCCUGUUUAGAUUUCUCUCCGAAUGUUUCCCGUAAUCCAGAUUUCUGGAAAAUAACCACACGCGGGCAGACGCGGCCACGAACGCCGCUGAAGUUUAUCCGGAGUUUUACCAACGUAUAAACACAUUUCCAGCCCGUUCGGCGGGGCGGGCGCUGGGUGACCCCUGCCCGGCACCGGGGCUGCACCGCGCUCCGCCCUCGUUACCUCCGCGCCGCUUUGAUCCGGAGCCCUCCGAGCUCCGCCGCUUGAUUGAGUUUUUGCAAUUAAGGAGCGCAGGGAGAGGGAGGGGGGGGGCGGCCGUAACCCCGCACACCCCGGGGCUGCGCACGUCGGGGCGCGGCGCCUCGGCCGCUCCGAGCCCGUUCCCUUAAAAGGCGACGGGAGCCCCGCGCAGCGCCGGGAGGGGGGGGGGGGAACGCGGCGUGAAACCCGAGCGGCACUGCGGGGGGCGGGCGGCGG
ensembl:lncRNA